AUCCGUGGUUGGAUAUUGAAUUCUGGACUUUGUUCAGAAUCGUUCUUUAAAAAUUCGGGUAUGUGAUAGAAG
rnacentral:tRNA from 1 species